rnacentral:rRNA from 1 species
CAUCCUCCAAGGCUAAAUACUCCUGACUGACCGAUAGUGAACCAGUACCGUGAGGGAAAGGCGAAAAGAACCCCGGCGAGGGGAGUGAAAAAGAACCUGAAACCGUGUACGUACAAGCAGUGGGAGCACCUUCGGGUGUGACUGCGUACCUUUUGUAUAAUGGGUCAGCGACUUAUAUUCUGUAGCAAGGUUAACCGUAUAGGGGAGCCGUAGGGAAACCGAGUCUUAACCGGGCGUUAAGUUGCAGGGUAUAGACCCGAAACCCGGUGAUCUAGCCAUGGGCAGGUUGAAGGUUGGGUAACACUAACUGGAGGACCGAACCGAC